GAUGAAGAACGUAGCGAAAUGCGAUACUUGGUGUGAGUUGCAGAAUCCCGUGAACCAUCGAGUCUUUGAACGCAAGUUGCGCCCGAAGCCAUUAGGCCGAGGGCACGCCUGCCUGGGCGUCACACGUCGUUGCCCCCCCAUCUACUCCUUCGGGAUUGCGGGGGGCGGAUGAUGGCCUCCCGUGCGCCUCGUCGCGCGGUUGGCAUAAAUGCCAAGUCCUCGGCGACGCACGCCACGACAAUCGGUGGUUGCGAAACCUCGGUUGCCCGUCGUGUGCGGUCGUCGCGCAUCGAGGGCUCGAAAAAAUUGCCGGGCUCCGGCUCGGCUUUCAACGCGACCCCAGGUCAGGCGGGGUUACCCGCUGAAUUUAAGCAUAUCAAUAAGCGGAGGA
rnacentral:misc_RNA from 1 species